GACGAACGCUGGCGGCGUGCUUAACACAUGCAAGUCGAGCGGUAAGGCCCUUUCGGGGUACGACGAGCGGCGAACGGGUGAGUAACACGUGGGUGACCUGCCCUCAGCUCUGGGAUAAGCCUGGGAAACCGGGUCUAAUACUGGAUAUGACUCCAUGACGCAUGUUGUGGGGUGGAAAGCCUUGUGCGGCUGAGGAUGGGCCCGCGGCCUAUCAGCUUGUUGGUGGGGUGAGGCCUACCAAGGCGACGACGGGUAGCCGGCCUGAGAGGGCGACCGGCCACACUGGGACUGAGACACGGCCCAGACUCCUACGGGAGGCAGCAGUGGGGAAUCUUGCGCAAUGGGCGAAAGCCUGACGCAGCGACGCCGCGUGAGGGAU
rnacentral:rRNA from 1 species